CAGCAAAAAGUGCUGACGGCAAGAUUCUAGCAGAGCAUAAGAAGAAAGAAAGAGAAGCGGCAAAGCAGGGAAAACAACCAUUUUAUCUUAAGAAAUCCGUAGUACGGGAACGGAAGCUAAUUGGGAAGUACAAUCAUCUCAAGGCAACAGGCAAGCUUGAGGACUUCAUUGAGAAGCGGAGAAGGAGAAAUGCUGCAAAGGACCGCCACCAUAUGCCCUACCGUCGGGCACAUGAUAGUGAAUAACUACAAGGGCUUCAAAUGCUGCCUGUUUAAUGAGUGCUUAAAUCUGUGUUCCUAUCCUUUCUUAGUGAUAAUGCAUCUGAUUUACUUCCCAAGAGCAAUAGAAAAGCCAAAUGAAUGGAAGGGAAAGUUGAGGUUGAAUUUGAAAUUAUUCAUUGGGGUUUAUGGAGGAGAAACAUGUU